CAUCCUGUGGCGCAACGGUAGCGCAUCUGUCUUACAAACAGAGGGUUGUAGGUUCGAAUCCUACCAGGAUGACCA
rnacentral:tRNA from 1 species